rnacentral:rRNA from 1 species
CAGCAGCCGCGGUAAUACGAAGGGUGCAAGCGUUACUCGGAAUUACUGGGCGUAAAGCGUGCGUAGGUGGUGGUUUAAGUCCGUUGUGAAAGCCCUGAGCUCAACCUGGGAAUUGCAGUGGAUACUGGGUCACUAGAGUGUGGUAGAGGAUAGUGGAAUUUCCGGUGUAGCAGUGAAAUGCGUAGAGAUCGGAAGGAACAUCUGUGGCGAAGGCGACUAUCUGGGCCAACACUGACACUGAGGCACGAAAGCGUGGGGAGCAAACAGGAUUAGAUACCCCUGUAGUCCCUGUCUCUUAUAC